rnacentral:rRNA from 1 species
AUUGAACGCUGGCGGCAUGCCUUACACAUGCAAGUCGAACGGCAGCACGGGAGCAAUCCUGGUGGCGAGUGGCGAACGGGUGAGUAAUGUAUCGGAACGUGCCCAGUCGUGGGGGAUAACGUAGCGAAAGCUACGCUAAUACCGCAUACGAUCUAUGGAUGAAAGCGGGGGAUCGCAAGACCUCGCGCGAUUGGAGCGGCCGAUAUCAGAUUAGGUAGUUGGUGGGGUAAAGGCCCACCAAGCCUGCGAUCUGUAGCUGGUCUGAGAGGACGACCAGCCACCCUGGAACUGAGACACGGUCCAAACUCGUACGGGAGGCAGCAGUGGGGAAUUUUGGACAAUGGGCGCAAGCCUGAUCCAGCAAUGCCGCGUGCAGGAUGAAGGCCUUCGGGUUGUAAACUGCUUUUGUACGGAACGAAACGGCUUUUUCUAAUACAGAGAGCUAAUGACGGUACCGUAAGAAUAAGCACCGGCUAACUACGUGCCAGCCGCCGCCGUAA